rnacentral:rRNA from 1 species
AUUCGAUUACAAGUACCGUGAGGGAAAGUUGAAAAGUACUUUGAAAAGAGAGUGCAAGAGAACGUGAAACCGGUAUAAUGGAAGCGAAUGGAGUUGACGUAUCUAUUGGGUAUUCAGCCCGUUGGCGUUUCGAUUGAGUUGGCGUGUUUUUGCAAAAUGCGCGUCCGCUUACUGUCGAUUCGUCGUUGGGUGUAUUUGCUCAAGGAGUGCGCCGAGUUGUGUGGUGUUGUCGAAUGAAGCGCGUUUAGAGGAUCCGGCUUUCGGGCCGGGAAACCUGAGCGUGUCGAGUUCGGUCGACGCUGCGCAGCUUUGUGGAGACGCGGGUUCGCGCGUGCAGUGGUGUUGGUUCGACGGGUUCGCGUGGUGCACAUGUGUACAGCGCUUAUGCGGCGGGUCAAUGUUGUUGUGUGCUCUGCGUUCUUCUCGGCGUAUAGUCGAUCACCCAUUCGACCCGUCUUGAAACACGGACCAAGGAGUUUAUGGUAUGCGCGAGUUAUUGAGUUUCACGAAGCUCAAAAGCACAAUGAAAGUAAGACAGUAUUGUAUUUAACGUGAUUGGGUGCGGCAUUCGUGCGGCCCAAGCAACGUUGCCCCGUUUCGAGGACUUGUCCUGUUGCGGAGGUUGAGCGCAUGCUAUGAGACCCGAAAGAUGGUGAACUAUGCCUGAACAGGACGAAGCCAGAGGAAACUCUGGUGGAAGUCCGAAGCGGUUCUGACGUGCAAAUCGAUCGUCUGAUUUUGGUAUAGGGGCGCAAGACUAAUCGAACCAUCUAGUAGCUGGUUCCUUCCGAA